rnacentral:rRNA from 1 species
AUUGAACGCUGGCGGCAUGCCUUACACAUGCAAGUCGAACGGCAGCGGGGGAGAAGCUUGCUUUUCCUGCCGGCGAGUGGCGAACGGGUGAGUAAUACAUCGGAACGUGCCCUGUAGUGGGGGAUAACUAGUCGAAAGAUUAGCUAAUACCGCAUACGACCUGAGGGUGAAAGUGGGGGACCGCAAGGCCUCAUGCUAUAGGAGCGGCCGAUGUCUGAUUAGCUAGUUGGUGGGGUAAAGGCCUUCCAAGGCGACGAUCAGUAGCUGGUCUGAGAGGACGAUCAGCCACACUGGGACUGAGACACGGCCCAGACUCCUACGGGAGGCAGCAGUGGGGAAUUUUGGACAAUGGGCGAAAGCCUGAUCCAGCAAUGCCGCGUGUGUGAAGAAGGCCUUCGGGUUGUGAAGCACUUUUGUCCGGAAAGAGAUGGCUCUGGUUAAUACCUGGGGUCGAUGACGGUACCGGAAGAAUAAGGACCGGCUAACUACGUGCCAGCCGCCGCGGUAAGAC